AUUACACAGCGCAGGCUUUUUUCUUGUCAGAGGAGGAAUGCCGACGACGGUGGAAGGUCCUGAGGGACACGUACCUCAGGGUGAGACGCAGGGAGGAGGCAGGAAAGAGGAGUGGGUCAGCAGCAGGCCCGUUGAAGACUUGGAAGUACUCUGCAAUCCUGUCUUUCCUCGGCCCAUUUGUUACUCGAAGGGAGACCAGUAGCAAUAUGGUGCUGGGGGUCGAGGUAGACGGGAUUGCAGAGUACCCAGUCGAGGACCAGGGUUCAGAGGCAGCAGCAGGGACAGCGAGUGACCUAGGAGAUCUAAGCUGUGAGGAGCCGGAGGCUGCUGCUGCCUCUGAACCCAUUCCACCACCACCACCACCAACUGCUGCUGUCACCACUCCUCCUAUUGCCCCAGUGAGGACACAAAACAGAAGAAGGGAGACUGAGAUAGAGACCUUACUGCUGGAGGUGCUGAGGAAGCAGAACACACCUGUGCCUCCACCUGUCCUCUCAGAGGAUGAGCACUUUUUAAAAACAUUACUUCCUUCCCUGCAGCGAUUGCCACCCAAUGCAAAGGAACAAAUUAAAUUCCAAAUUUAUAAAUUAUUGCACGAUGCAAACUGCGUUCAUAAUCCAGUAGAGUUUAAUUUGAUCAAUCAA